rnacentral:misc_RNA from 1 species
GUUCAUCAAAACAGGGAAAAGCCUUCCGAGCAUCGAUGGAUUCAAACUGUGUAACUGCCAGCCACCUGUACAAAAACAGAAUUAUCUUCUUUUAAAGUGAUUACUGAGAAAAAAUUGCUUUGGAUUUUUGUUAGAGGUAUUUCAAGUGAUUUGGAGUGAAUCUUGAUUACAUCGGUUGCUGUUUUACAUUCCACCUGAAUGAGUGAAAUUGGUCUACAGUUCAAUGUGAAUACAAUAAAGGUACUCUACAGGAUUUUUCUGCAGCACCAGUUCUCUUUGCGUGCUCAAUUUGGACAAGCUGCCCCAUGGAUUAUCCCAAAUUUCAGGUGGCUUUCGAAGAGAGCAAAGUGAAGUUAGGGCUAAGAAGCCCUCUGUAACAAAACCUGGGGAUCAACGACUCAAAGGUGACUUCCGAACCAACAACCAACGGCUGGGCAGGUGGGCUGCUAGCAAGUACAGGAUCGCUCAGUGAUCACUCAUCCAAGCAGCAGCCACACUGAACGUUGCUCAACUCUGUUACCUUGUGAUAACUAAAGUACCCCGCUACACUGUACCAUUAGCAAAAUUAAUUAUGAACAAAAAUAAGUUAAACAAAAUAAAUAUUAGAGAAAAUUCAAAAAUUAAAAACUAAUUAACAAAACAAUAAACUAAUAAAAACCUCAACAGUUUAAUAAGGUACAAAAUGGUAACUUUUGGAUAGUAAAAAAUUGAUACCUACUGUAAGAUUUUCAAUAAGUCAAUUAUUAAAUUUUAUAAUAAAUAUCUUAUGGAUAUA